CUAGUACUCCCUCCAUUCCAUAAUUCUCGUCGAAAUAUUACAUGUAUCUAGACGCUUUUUAGGAAUAGAUACAUCCAUUUUUGGGCAAAUUUGAGACAAGAAUUAUGAAACGGAGGGAGUAUUUA
rnacentral:pre_miRNA from 1 species